UCAGUUUUGAUCCCUACAGCCUUCAGCUAUGAGGAUUUGCCAGCUCACAUAAUAAAGUUAUGCUGGUCUCUGAAGAAGGUGCCUGAACCUGAAAGGAGCUGAAAUCAGCUGAUUGUAGUGCACAGGAAGAAAAAGCAGAGCGGGGCCUUAAAGAGACAGCAGCAUAGUGGGGCUUUUCACCUCGACAGCAGCCAUCUUUACCACAGCAAAGGCACCAGCUGGGGGAGGCGUGACUGCAUUUGACCGCUCCUGGCUCACACUCACGGAUUUUCCCAAAAUGCUCUUUUUCCUCCUCCUGAAAUAUUAAUUAUGAACAGUUAAAAUAGCUUUUAGAGCAGGCAGUUAACUUUUGUUGCACCUCCAAACAAUUAAGGUCAGAGUAAUUUCCUGCCCUUCAGUAGUUAUUGAUUGUUUUAGACUCAAUGUGUAUUUAUAGUUACAACACACUAACAUAUAACUCUGCAGCCACACACUGUCUGAAACCAGGAAGACUCUGGUGUCUAAACUGUGUGGGCUGACAAGUUCCAUGUUUGAAUGCAGAGCAGUUGAAAAAUUGAAUUUUUCAUAUGAAUGUUUAUUUAUUUCUUGCACCAUGUCAGUGUCUGUGUUAAUAGUAAAGGAGGGGGAAACAUGGAACAGCUGUAAUAGAUUGCAGACUUUGCUUUCAGCACACAACACCUGAAAUACUGAGGUUGAAAUUAUAUCUGACAGCUUUUUUGGAGACUAAUGGUUAUCUCAUUCUUCAGACCAAAGAGUGACAAGAACAUUACAAAAUCUAUUAGGAGAAGCACAAAAAGCCUCUUUUUGACCUGAGAAGAAUCAUGAAUACUCACCAAAGAAAGUUCUGAAUCCAUUGCCAACAGUCAGCAAAUACUCAUGCUGCAGUUUCUUGUAAAGCAUGAAAGUAGUACGUACAUUCUAUUGGUUGUUAUUUGAUGUAGUAACUCAUUAUUCAAUCACAUAUUGCUUAAGUGUCUGUGUAACUUGUUUUAUGAUUAUAAAAAUGGCUUCAAGAUGAAUCUCUGGUUCUAAUUCCAUAAUAUCUUAAUAAUUUACUUAGUUUUUCCACUGUACAUAUUUUUGAGGCAUUUGUAGAUGACAGGAAAUUAGGUUAGACAGAUAAGGAAUCAUAUCAUAUCAUAUCUCAGUCAGAUUUCAACCCAGGAUGUGGAUUAUGGUCAGCACUUUGAAAUCUGUGACUUAAGCUAUACGUAGCACUGAGUUUAAAAUUGAGAGAAACUAUAUUUUAUAAUGGAAAGAAAAUCGCAAAUGGCCAAUAAAAAGAAAAGCCCAGAUAUAGAAGCUUAUUUUGUGUUAUCUAACUGAUAGAAUUAUUAUUUUAAAAAAUGUACAUUCAGUAGUUUAUUGCCUUUAAUGACUACAAAAGCAAUGAACUGGUAGCAAGGAGGAAGACUUGUUUCAGAGAGUAGGCAGGCAGGUGUUCAGGACAGGUAAGCAGGCUGGUACACCAGCAAGUGAUUCCUGAGAGCAGGAAAAGAGGAAGCUAAGUGCAAAUGCUAAAGAAACAAAAUCACAAGUGAUCCUCUGCAUAUGUUUUUUAUAUUGCCAAGUGACACUACCAAUCAUAGUGGCAUAUCAUCUGGCAAUAGUGCUUUAUCUAAGGUUAGAAGUCACUGGAUUCAGACAGAGAUUUGUGUUUUUGGAAAAUCAGGUAAUGAAGAUUACAUUUUUAACCAUCAUGACCAUGUUUUGUUCAGAAAGUUGCUGUGAGCUACCUUGUACAGCGGUGUAGAACAAAUAGAUUAAAAUCUUUAGUUAUUAGGUAACUUGAUUGAUGAUCGUGUGAAUAUUAACAUGCCCAUAUUAUUUUACGUCUUUGGUUUUGUUUCUUUAAUUUAUGCAAAAAUAUUUGUGAUUAUUGUUUAAGGACUGUAAGUUGUGUGAGUAGGUUUUGUGGGUCAGCUGAAAAUAAACUGCCCUUUGGUGGGAUUGAUAAAGUUAUCUGAAUCUGAAUAGCUGGAACACUCCACCAGGGCUUUAAACUGUAAUAGAUUGGUGAAUGAUGAAAAGAACAGGUAUGGCCAGGCAGAAACCAGCAGAGCUGCCACUGAAACACAAAGGUCACGCUUAUACAAAUAGAGAGGAAGGACAGGAAACAAGGAAGAAAAAAUAGAGCACAGGUUGGCACAGGAGGACAGGGGAGACCAGAACAACCAGCACUUCCUAUAUGCAUUUGCCCGCCAUUUUUACAGGGAAAAGCAUUCCUGUUGUAAAUCCAGACCAUUGCAGUAUCUUUCCCAAUGUUUCUAUAAUAAGAUCAGAAAACUGACUGGAGCAGAAAGUGCACUAAGCGUAGGUGGGGGAGAAGGAUGCUUAGCCAGUGGUGCUCACACACGGAUAUGCACGUCCACACAUACAAAACCACAAACAAGAACUUCCAUAUGUUGAUGAAUUAUUCAUUUGGCAGUGCAGAAAUUCCAAAAAGAAAAAAAAAGGUGGGGGGAGUGUUUGGGGGAGUUUUAAGGAGAAAUAUGGGACAUUGCAAAAAAAAAAAUCAACCAACCAGGCACCUAAAAAGAUGACAUUAGAUGAAGUCCCAGCACAUUCUUCUUGGCUAAGAUAAGACAAAUAGAGACAUCAGAAAAUGGUCAAAAUUACAUCUUGUUGUAUAACUUCUUUUUGAUACUUGAUAAAUAUUAUGUGUACAUUCUAAGCUUUAACACCUUUAAAAAGUUAUCCAACUCUAGAAAGAAUAUUGUCCUUGAGAGCUUUUCUCCUUCAUACAGUGUAUGUGUCAUUGGUAUUGGAGAAGAAACGGGCUGGUGACUCUGCUGAUAAUGUGACCUCUGGAGAGAUAAAUGAAACUACCAUAUCACUCCAAAGAGGCCCAUGAUGGGAAAUGAUGGAGACAGAAAGGCAGAUAGAGGGUAUUUAUAUCUCUCAUUGUUCAAACAAAGUCAGUCAGCUGCUACUGUCAUUGUUCUGAAACAACAGGAUGACAGGAGAAGGCAAAGAGAGGGAGAGGAAGAGGGAGGUUGCAAGUUGUGGGAAGAAAGUGAAGAGAGAGAUCAAACAGCUGGAGGCAGAUUAGGUGCAACAGAGGAAAAGAAGAAAGGCAGAAAGGAAUUGAAGUGGAGUGAAAGAGGCCAAUUAAUUGGAACGCACAGUCAUAGUUGCUGUAAAUGUCUCUGGGUUAUGUGCUCAUAAAUUAUCAUACAUAUUGACUGUGUGUUCAUUCUCCAACAACCUCCACAAUCCUCUUUCACUGAGUUGUCUAUUUAGAUAGAGUCACAGAAUAGUUAAGCCUUCCUUGAGGCAGAUGUGUGAUGAGCGCUGUCCAGAGUGCUGAACCUUGCCAUUAUAUUUGCAGGAUAUUUGCCAUUAUAUACCACAGUGACUAACAUCAUUAACCUUUAUGGCAUUUAAAUACAGUGUUUGGAAGAUACUACAUCUAUUUUCUAAUAUGUGUUUCAAAUCCUCUUUUCUCUGGUUCCAACUGUUUCCAGGUAUGCAUAUUGUUGUGUAGCUGCUUAUAAGAGUUUCUCACUACCUUCAGGUGUUUUCUAUCAUUUCAAAACAUGGCCAUCAUGAGGAUGAGAUUUUGUCCACUUUAAUUUCCCCUUUUUUUGACCUUAAUUUUAUAACACUCACCACCCACUUCAGGCUUAAGGGGCCCAGAAGCAUCCCUUGUUCUAAGUUGUCAGGACAUUACACAACACACAAAUUGAGUGUGUAUCUUUGUGUGUGUGGAUCCCGCAAUUACCUGUAUCUCUUGGACUGUGCCAUCAUUACAGCUGAACCAUGCUGUAAACACCUGUCAUCUUAGUAUGGCUAUGUGUCCACUCAUUUGCCUCUCAGAAGCGUGUACUCGGGUGGGUUUUUCUCUGUAUGUUUCUGUUUAUAUCUGCAGGGUAUGUCUGUGCUUAGUGAGGCAGUGAUAAUGUUCAUCAGAGCAAGCAUGGCAUCCUGCCCAUUUCCAGCUGCAUGCUGUUUAAACUCUGCUGUGCACCUGGGAGUUGCACAGAAUAUCCAGACUGUAAGAAAGAAAUAAAGACAGAAAGAAAGAAGAAGAAAGGGGGAGAUGGAUAAUGGUCAGUGAAAGGAAUUGAUCUUUUGUCUUGUGGAGAAGAAAAAUUCAUGACUUUGCAGUGGGUCACUUCAAUAAUAAAGCCUUGUGGUCAAAGAAACCAUCCAUUACUUCCAACUCUAAUGGAAAAACUGGUGAGACCAGGUUUUCCUCAAGCAGAAAUAACCCUUUUG